GAGAAAAGCUUAAGAGAAAAAGCUUGUGAAAGAAUUUUUGUGAGAAAAAUUCUUAGUAUAAUUCGGGGUGGGUUGAGAGUUGUGAGUGUUGUAAACACUUUGUAUAUUUUCUCCCUUUAGUAAAAUGAUCUGCAGCAGGUCCGGAGACGUAGGCACAAUUGGCUGAACUCCGUUAUCAAAUUUGUGUGUCUUAUUUCCUCUGUUAUUCGCAUUCUCACUAAUCUGGUUUAUAGGGAAAUCUGCGUUAUUUCCUAACACUUCUCUGGUUCUGGUGGCUUUCGUACAACUUGUU
rnacentral:lncRNA from 1 species